rnacentral:rRNA from 1 species
CACGUAGGGCGCAAGCGUUGUCCGGAAUUAUUGGGCGUAAAGAGCUCGUAGGCGGUCUGUUGCGUCCGCUGUGAAAACUCGGGGCUUAACCCCGAGCCUGCAGUGGAUACGGGCAGACUAGAGGUAGGUAGGGGAGAAUGGAAUUCCCGGUGUGGCGGUGAAAUGCGCAGAUAUCGGGAGGAACACCGGUGGCGAAGGCGGGUCUCUGGGCCGAUAUUGACGCUGAGGAGCGAAAGCGUGGGGAGCGAACAGG